CCGUGCUAGGCGGGGAACUAGCGGUGCCCUGUACCUGCAAUCCGCUCCAGCAGGGCUGAAUUCCCUCCCGAGGUCUCCGUCCUCGAAUGCCGACGCCUCGAGCGACGUUGAGGGCCGGGUCCCGCGCAGCGGCGACUCGCAAACCGUGUCAGGUCCGGAAGGAAGCAGCACUAAGCGAUCUUCGUCGGGUGCCGCGGAACGGCCUGGUCCGAGUCGCUCGUUGCGGCGGGCGCGGGGACGUCCAGCUCGACGGAGGGUGCACGG
rnacentral:SRP_RNA from 1 species